rnacentral:rRNA from 1 species
AUUGAACGCUGGCGGCAUGCUUUACACAUGCAAGUCGAACGGCAGCGAGAGAGAAGCUUGCUUCUCUUGUCGGCGAGUGGCGAACGGGUGAGUAAUACAUCGGAACGUACCCUGUAGUGGGGGCUAACUACUCGAAAGAGUAGCUAAUACCGCAUACAACCUGCGGGUAAAAGUGGGGGACCGCAAGGCCUCACGCAAUAGGAGCGGCCGAUGGAAGAUUAGCUAGUUGGUAGGGUAAAGGCCUACCAAGGCGACGAUCUUUAGCGGGUCUGAGGGGACGAUCCGCCACACUGGGACUGAGACACGGCCCAGACUCCUACGGGAGGCAGCAGUGGGGAAUUUUGGACAAUGGGCGAAAGCCUGAUCCAGCAAUGCCGCGUGAGUGAAGAAGGCCUUCGGGUUGUAAAGCUCUUUUGUUUGGGAAGAAAUCCUAACGGAUAAUACCUGUUGGGGAUGACGGUACCAAAAGAAUAAGCACCGGCUAACUACGUGCCAGCAGCCGCCGUAACAC